GCCAGUGGCGCGAAGCUACCGUGCGCUGGAUUAUGACUGAACGCCUCUAAGUCAGAAUCCGGGCUAGAAGCGACGCAUGCGCCCGCCGCCCGUUUGCCGACCUGCAGUAGGGGCCUUGGCCCCCAAAGGCACGUGCCGUUGGUGAAGCACGCGCGGCGGACGAGCCGCGUGGGCCGCCUUGAAGUAUAAUUCCCACCGAGCGGCGGGUAGAAUCCUUUGCAGACGACUUAAAUACGCGACGGG
rnacentral:rRNA from 1 species